GACGAACGCUGGCGGCGUGCCUAAUACAUGCAAGUUGAGCGCUGAAGGUUGGUACUUGUACCAACUGGAUGAGCAGCGAACGGGUGAGUAACGCGUGGGGAAUCUGCCUUUGAGCGGGGGACAACAUUUGGAAACGAAUGCUAAUACCGCAUAAAAACUUUAAACACAAGUUUUAAGUUUGAAAGAUGCAAUUGCAUCACUCAAAGAUGAUCCCGCGUUGUAUUAGCUAGUUGGUGUGGUAAAGGCUCACCAAGGCGAUGAUACAUAGCCGACCUGAGAGGGUGAUCGGCCACAUUGGACUGAGACACGGCCCAAACUCCUACGGGAGGCAGCAGUAGGGAAUCUUCGGCAAUGGACGAAAGUCUGACCGAGCAACGCCGCGUGAGUGAAGAAGGUUUUCGGAUCGUAAAACUCUGUUGGUAGAGAAGAACGUUGGUGAGAGUGGAAAGCUCAUCAAGUGACGGUAACUACCCAGAAAGGGACGGCUAACUACGUG
rnacentral:rRNA from 1 species